ensembl:lncRNA
AGGGAGUGUUUUUAUGACAUAUUCAAUUUAAUUUCUAGUGAUUGGCCUGUUCAGUUGAUCUCUUUCUUCUUGAUUCAGUUCUGGCAGACUGUAAGUCCCUAGAAGGUUGUCCAUUUCUUCUAGGUUGUCACAUUUGUUAGCAUAUAGUUGUUCAUAGUAUUCUCUCAUGGCUUUUUGAAUUUCUGUAGUAUCUGGUAUGACUUCUUUUUCAUUUCUUAUUUUGUUUAUUUGGGGUUUUUCUCUCCUCCUCUUGGUGAGACUAGCCAGAGGUUUGUUAAUUUUGUUUACCUUUUCAAAGAACCAGCUCUUGGUUUUAUUGAUUUCUUCUGUUGUUUUUUGAAUCUCUAUUUUAUUGAUUUCCUCUUUGAUCUUUAUGAUUUCUGAUUUCCUUCUGCUGACUUUAGGUUUUGUUUGUUGUUCUUUUUCUAAUUCAUUUAGGUGGUAGGUUAAGUUGUCGAUUUGAGAUUUUUCUUCUUUUUCGAGGAAGGCCUGUAUUGCUAUGAAUUUCCCUCGGAGCACUGCUUUUGUGGGAUCCCAUAGAUUUUGAGUGGUUGUAUCUUCAUUAUCAUUUGUCUCGAGGCAUUUUUUUAAUUUCCUUUUUGAUUUCCUCAUUCUGGGUAUAGAAUUCUAGUAUGAAACAGGUGUGGAUGCUGCUUUUUAACUGGAGUCCUCUAGAUGUCAGGAUCUAUAGGCCUUUUGUCUCAGCCAUUCAGUGCCUCCAGAGGGAAGUCCACCUGCAGCCAGUAUUCUGGUUGCUCAUUAGUUGGUGUGCAGCUUUUAAUUAAUCCACUAGCUCUGAGUUCAGUGCCUCUCCCUCAUUCUAUCUUGUACCUGGGGCCCCUAGUCUGAAGAAAUGGAACCAUCGUGAGUCUGUAAAAUAAACUCUCAGCCUUCUACCAGUGUGUGAAGUGGUUGUUGACCAGUUUUAGCCAGUUUCCCUGUUUUCCAUCCCAGCCCUCAAUCCAGCUUUCCCCAGUACUUAGCACCUCUAAUUGCUGAGAUUUCCUGUAAAUCAUAGUGAUAAUGAACUUACUCCUGUGCAUGUAUGUGGUAUUCAGCUUUCUCUAUGACUUUGUCUUCCAGAUAUUUGUUGCUAUUGUUCACUCACUGAUGGCUUCUCGUCUGUUUCCUUUGUUGUUUUGACUGUAUGUAUAUAUGUUUUUAAUGGCUGCACCCAUGGCAUGUGGAAGUUCCUGGGCCAGGGAUUGAAUCCGAGCUGCAGCUGUGACCUAUGCCAUGGCUUCAGCAAUGCCAGAUCCUUAAUCCACUGUGCUGGGCUGGGGAUUGAACCCUUGCCUCUGCAGCUACCUGAACUACUGCAAUCGUAUUCCUAACCCACUGUACCAUAGGGGGAACUCCUAUACCAUUUUCAUUCUUAGCAGAAAUUCAUAGAUUUUUACCAAAUUGAGAACAACCUACCUGGCUGAAUGGAGGAUAUAUUUUCCAUGGAAAACCUAGCUGGAUUUGAGAAUGUCUUUAAUUUGAAAAUUUAGCUGUUGUAGUUUUCAGGUUGCACCAACCCCAUGCUUUUCCCAGGAAUCAGAUGUUGCCUAGAAGGAGGGAGAAUCUGUUCCCCUUUAAGCUUGGGGUCAUGUGUGUUUACCUAAAUGGUAUAAGGCUUCCUGCAUGCCUGAACACAAAAGGCUGCCUCUUUAAAAUAUAAGAUGACACUUCUGUUGCUAUUUGCAAUGAAAUUUUGAAAAGGUUACAUCUUAAUUAUAGCAGAUUAGUCACUUUUAAGAGUAUGUCUUGCAAAGACAAGAGUUUGUGUGUAUUUUUAGACUCAUGGUUAAGAGAGCACAAGUUCUCAAAAAAAGCAAGUUAAUACUGAGCCACUAAUCUAUUUCUAUACUAAAACUGAUGAACUUAAAUAAACAUAAAAAUCUGCAACUUGAACUCAUUUUCUCACCUCUGAAAUUGUUUAUCCCAAGGAAAGUAAGUUCAUAAUCAUCUCCAUCUGUUAUGGGCUGAAUUAAUUGUGUUCUGUUCAAGUUUGUCAGUGGAAAGCCUCGCCUCCACCCCAAGCCCCACCCCCCUACACCUCAGCAUGUGACUAUAUAUUUGGAGAUAGGCUCCUUUUUUUUAAUUUAUUAAAGUUUUAUUGAAGUAU